rnacentral:rRNA from 1 species
AACGAACGCUGGCGGCAGGCUUAACACAUGCAAGUCGAACGCAUCGCAAGAUGAGUGGCAGACGGGUGAGUAACGCGUGGGAACAUACCCUUUUCUACGGAAUAGCUCUGGGAAACUGGAAGUAAUACCGUAUACGCCCUACGGGGGAAAGAUUUAUCGGGGAAGGAUUGGCCCGCGUUGGAUUAGCUAGUUGGUGGGGUAAAGGCCUACCAAGGCGACGAUCCAUAGCUGGUCUGAGAGGAUGAUCAGCCACAUUGGGACUGAGACACGGCCCAAACUCCUACGGGAGGCAGCAGUGGGGAAUAUUGGACAAUGGGCGCAAGCCUGAUCCAGCCAUGCCGCGUGAGUGAUGAAGGCCUUAGGGUUGUAAAGCUCUUUCACCGAUGAAGAUAAUGACGGUAGUCCGAGAAGAAGCCCCGGCUAACUUCGUGCCAGCCGCCGCCGUAAGAC